UGAGCGGGCGUGGGAGACGGAUCGUUUACUUUGAAAAAAUCAGAGUGUUUCAAGCAGGCAGCUCGCUCUUGCAUGGUACAGCAUGGGAUGAUUGAAUAGGACUCCGGUGCUAUUUUGUUGGUUUCGAACACCAGGAGUAAUGAUUAACAGGGACAGUCAGGGGCACUCGUAUUCCGUCGAGAGAGGUGAAAUUCUCAGACCAAUGGAAGACGAACCACUGCGAAAGCAUUUGCCAGGGAUGUUUUCACUGAUCAAGAACGAAAGUUAGGGGAUCGAAGACGAUCAGAUACCGUCGUAGUCUUAACCAUAAACCAUGCCGACUAGGGAUUGGAGGGUGUUCGUUU
rnacentral:rRNA from 1 species